CCUUCUGAAGUUAUCCCAGCAUUAUUCUGCAGUUCCCGUUGAAUGUCUUCCCUUUUCAGUCCUGUUAUGUUCCCUUGCUCUGUGAGUCUGCGUGCAUGUCUUAAUCCUGCAGGUGGAGCUGAUUGCUCUAUCAAAAAUAUGCAAUGUGUUAGUCACGAAAAGACUGUUUACGAUUACAUACAUUUGGAUCCUUUGAUAUGCACACACAUUACAGCACCCAAAAAUACUUCUGGUACAUAAUUUGUUUACAUAUCACCAAAACAAACUUUUAUCUCCCAAAAUGUUUAUCAAAAUCCCUUACCUUUCGUUGGAGAGAAAGCAAGGGUCAUUCUGAGUGUUUAUCCUAAAAUACGUCACUCAAGCUGCACCACCUAACCAAAAAAAUAAAAUCUGUGUUACGUUUUGCCCUGCUCUGCCCUACUAAUGUAAAUGUGGUAAAAAGCAACCGGUGUUGAAGCAAGGCAUGUACAGUGAAUCUACGUACUCUGGUAUCGAUCAACCAAUGGAAAUAUUGUGACACUAUGACAUUUUCAUUGACAGCCCCCUAAUUAACAUAUGGAUUAAAAAAAUACAGAAAUAUAUUGUGGCACUGCACUGGGCGUGACGGUGCAGGCGGGGCGGCACAGAAAUACACAGACCGGAGGUUUGGGGAAAAAUAGCCCAACAGGGCCUUUUAUUUACCAAAAAUUAUAUACAAAAAAACCAAAGCAAACUCGACAACUAAAGUCUCUUGUCAGAAUUAACUUAAAGUAAAGCAACCAAAAUUAGGAGUAACGGUGUCCGGGAGACCGCUGAGGGGAUCCCUCUUCAAAGCAGGAAGAGGGAUGUGGUCCUGCGUCUCCACCGGAUUCUGCAAAGUAGGGGAAAAGUUAUCAACAGUUUUCAACAGCUCUCCUGCAGCCCAAAACCCCCUCUCCUCAAGGGAGACAAAAGGCCUCCUUUUAAGCUCCCAGCCAUCUCCCUGGAGUGGCAGCAGCUGUGUUGCCUCAUUGAUUGCAGGUGUGUUGACUGCAAAGGAGGGAGUUGAGGAAUGUCCAGUUUGCCGCUCUCCAGGGUCCUGUGGCUGGGCUUCAUAGUGGGGCGCUGUCCUGGGUCCUGAAGAGCUGGCCUGGUGGCAGGUUUUAGCUGAUGCCUAUAAGGUUGGGAGGAGCACUGUGGGGGCAUGCCCCGAUCCAUGCCACAAUAUAUAUAUACAGGCAUAAAUUAAUCAAAACAUAAAUAAGGAUAUAAGUAUAUACAGAAAUAAAUGAAUCAAGCAAUAAAUAAAUAUGGAAAUGAACAUCCACAGAAAUGAAUGAAUCAAGAAAUAAAUAUGGAAAUAAAUGCAAAUACCCAUUUGUCAGAUUUUGUCUAUUAAUUUAUUUGUACAUUCAUUAAUUUUUACAUUUUCUUGCUUUUGUAUUUAUUUAUUUAUACAUUAAUUCAUUUAUUGAGUCAUUUAUUUAUUUAUUAUUUUUACAUUUUUGGUCCUCCAUAUACCUGUAGUACCAGUCAAUGGCAAUAAUCAGUUGUGGUGUUUCUCUGCAGCCAGCAGAUGGCGCUGCAGUGUAUUUCAUUUGCCGCCUUGGUUACAUUAUUAGAUGAAGAUUGAAUGUUUUUAAAAUAUAAAGAUGUUUGUAGACUGAAGGUGAGGUAAAGUACACCAUAGUGAUCAUACUACUGCAGUUUCUUGUGUUAGCAAAUGAAAUAUGUUUGCAAUCAUGUUGUUUGCCAUGUGAUAUCAUCGCAACAUGGAACAGUUUUGUUAAUGAAAUCCUUGCAGGAAGCCUCCAACCUUGAGUUGAAUUGGCUCCUUAUUUUUAGUUAUUUUUUGUUAAUUGAGCCAAGUGAUGACCUUUUUUUUGUGGAUUAGUCAGAAUACUUUAUGAACAUAAUUAAUAUAAACUCUUCCUGUUUUUGUGUGUACUGUGUACAUCCCAGGAAUGCACGUACUGUACAAAUAGGAAAUUCCACAUUUAUCUGCUGCCAAGGUGCACAGUGUGACAAUUAGCAGUGAAUUUCAAUUGUGUGUGUGUGGUUGUAUGUGUGUGUGUCUGUGUGUGUGUGUGUGUCUGUGUGGUGUGUGUGUGUGUGUGUGUGUGUACAUGUGCAUGUUUGUGUGUGUGUGUGUGUGUGUGUGUGUGUGGUCUCUUCACAGGCUGGGUUGGUGUAAUCUCACAGAUGGCUGCUGUGAUGUUCUGGCCUCAGUCCUGCGCUCUCUUCACUCAGAGCUGAGAGAUCUGGAGCUCAGAGACAAUGAGCUGCAGGAUUCAGGAGUGAGAGCGCUCUCUGCUGGACUGGAGGACCCACAUUGUAAACUGCAGAGACUGGGGCUGUCAGGCUGUAGAGUCACACAGAGAGGCUGUAAUUCUCUGGCUUCAGCUCUGUGUUCAAACCCCUCACACCUGAGAGAGCUGGACCUGAGAUACAAUCACCCAGGAGACUCAGGAGUGAGAGCGCUGUCUGCUGCUAAACUGGACACACUCACACUGCUUGUGGACCAUGGAGGAGGGAACAGGACCAAACCAGGACCCAGGAAAUGUGAGUGUGUAUCGACACAGAACACUUUGCAUAGAUACACACUCUGCUGUGUGUGUGUGUGUGUGUGUGAGAGAGACUUCUC